AAUGAGCGUGGAGGGGCUGCUCGUUCACCGGCCACCCAUGGCCCCUCUAUCACCUCCAGUUUGCUCCGGGCACUUGAUACUUGGCUGUGACCUCACCCGUCGUCUUGCCAGUCUGGUAGUCAGGACUGCCGAAUCCUCCCGCUGCCUCCGGGGAAAGUUUCCCACAAAAUUUGACAAGCAGUAUUUUCAUCAUAGCCUAAUUCUACAUCAGAGGAGGCAAGAGUACUGGAGGGAGUUGCCAUGCCCUCCUCCAGGAGAAUACCAUCUGAGCCACCAGGGAAGUCCAGAUGUACCUAUAGUAAAGAAAACAAGACUAGAAUAAAACUAUCAAUUUAGAUGUAAAACUCAGUACCUACAGGCAAUAAGCUAUCAUCUUUAGGGUUAUUUUCUCUCAUAAGCAGAAAUUGUUUGCAUUGCUUUUGGACAAAAGUUAUUUUUAACUUCUUUUUUUUAACAUAUAACUUCUAAUUUUUGUUGUAAAAUGCCUG
ensembl:lncRNA